GACUCAGUGGUCUAAUCGUAAAGCGCUCGUCGCAGAGCCAGAGUGUCCUGGGUUCGAUCCCCAACGAGGUCG
rnacentral:tRNA from 1 species